rnacentral:rRNA from 1 species
UACAGAGGGGGCAAGCGUUAUUCGGAAUUAUUGGGCGUAAAGGGCGCGUAGGCGGCCUGGCAAGUGGAAGGUGAAAUCCCUCGGCUUAACCGAGGAACUGCCCUCCAAACUGCUUGGCUUGAGACCGGGAGAGGUGAGUGGAAUUCCGAGUGUAGAGGUGAAAUUCGUAGAUAUUCGGAAGAACACCAGUGGCGAAGGCGGCUCACUGGACUGGUAUUGACGCUGAGGUGCGAAAGCGUGGGGAGCAAACAGG